rnacentral:rRNA from 1 species
ACGCUCGACACCUACGGGAGGCAGCAGUGAGGAAUAUUGGUCAAUGGGCGCAGGCCUGAACCAGCCAAGUAGCGUGAAGGAUGACUGCCCUAUGGGUUGUAAACUUCUUUUAUAUGGGAAUAAAGUUUUCCACGUGUGGAAUUUUGUAUGUACCAUAUGAAUAAGGAUCGGCUAACUCCGUGCCUGCAGCCGCGGUAAUCUGAGCGGGCUGGCAAGGC